rnacentral:rRNA from 1 species
GACGAACCUUGCGAACGUUGUUCGGAAUCACUGGGCUUAAAGGGCGCGUAGGCGGUCUCCCAAGUCCGAGGUGAAAUCUUUCGGCCUAACCGGAAAAGGGCCUUGGAUACUGGGGGACUCGAGGGGGGUAGGGGCAAGCGGAACUUCCGGUGGAGCGGUGAAAUGCGUUGAUAUCGGAAGGAACGCCGGCGGCGAAAGCGGCUUGCUGGACCCCAUCUGACGCUGAGGCGCGAAAGCCAGGGGAGCGAACGGG